UACGAAGGGGGCUAGCGUUGCUCGGAAUCACUGGGCGUAAAGCGCACGUAGGCGGAUUGCUAAGUCAGGGGUGAAAUCCUGGAGCUCAACUCCAGAACUGCCUUGAUACUGGCGAUCUCGAGUCCGGAGAGGUGAGUGGAACUGCGAGUGUAGAGGUGAAAUUCGUAGAUAUUCGCAAGAACACCAGUGGCGAAGGCGGCUCACUGGCCCGUACUGACGCUGAGGUGCGAAAGCGUGGGAGCAACAGG
rnacentral:rRNA from 1 species